GUGCGGAGAGGAGGGGGGGUGGGAGGACCCUGCGAGACCAGCCAGCCGCACCGCGAGCUGCAACAACACGGGGAUAAACACCGAAUAUCCAACUAGGACUCCAGCUUCAUGUCUCACUCUCAUAAAAUUACUUUAAUCUUCAGUCUGGGGCCGUUUGUAAAUACUGAAAGGCCUGUAUUUCGGGAUUGACGUGUCCAGUAUCCACUUCUCUACUUGUAAACACUUUAUUAACGGCGAACUGAACAAGCUUUCAACUCUGAUUGUGAGAUAUUGUCAGCGCGUCCAGUCAUCGAUCAUCUGCCCCCGGUGCCAGAAAUGGUGUCAUAACAUGAUAAUGCGGCUUCACACAUUCGGCGGUGAUUCCUGCGGUAAAACCCGAGCGGUGGGAUCCGAUGGGACAAAUGUACAGGCAUGAAAUGACUAUCAAAGCCUCCGGCAGACCGGCCGGCGAGACUCUGGGGCGCGGACAGCAGAGAAGCCACGAAGCUGCGCAGGAGCCAUGGACUUUUACGCACAGAGAUACCGGAUCAAAUAAUAAACUGGGUUGACUUGUACUCGUCGAGUUACUUAAUUCAAUUAUUUAUUGGUGAGUAGAAGCUCUCAUUUUAUUUAUUUUUAUGGCGUAGGCCUAUUUAAUUAAACAAAGUAGUAUUGUCAUUGAUAUUUUCUUGAUGGGAAGUUAUUUUUAAUUAAACAAGAAGCUGGUGUUUAAAUCCACUUUCAGCUAAAUGUGUGCAUUUAGUGAAACGUAAACAGGAUUAUAGCCUGGCUCACUACACCACAAGGCGCCCUAAAUGUUAAGAGGGUUAUAGAGAAAAAGCAUAGCUAAAUUAACAUGAAAGGAGACCACAUCAGCGCCUGACCACUGUAAAAUAACUACAAUGGCAUUAUAAAGCAAUUAAGCUACGUCAAUUAGCGUCUAUAAAAGCAAACUGGAGCUCCACUUUCUCUCCUGAACUUGCUCUUUCGUGAGGGUCAGCGCAUUUUGGCAUGCUGAAAAAGAGAGGGGGGGGGCAAAUACCGUCAUUUGUGUUUAAUCCGCUUUGCGAUGACGGUAAUGCUUUGAGUCGUUUCAAUAAAAUCAGCAGGUAUUACUUUCAAACGGCUGAAUGUAAAUGGACAGCAUGUUUGACUGCCGAAACAAAUGGAUGCGUUAUUCCACGGCCUGUGCGCCGUGACUUGAGCAGUUUGGAGACAAAGACGAGCUGCAGCCUUUAUGUUAGUUUAUCAAAACACACGCAACAUCCAAAACGUCUAAGACGUGUUUCCCUCUACUGUUACAUAUUACUAUUUUAAGUCAUCGCCAGCUAUUUUGAGUUACAGUGUUGUAAUAAAUAAUGCACAUUUGAAAAUGUAUUUUAAUACGUGCACUUUGAGUUUUUUUAAUUUUUUUUUUUAAAUAGAUAAAAACAACAUCUCCAGGUCAGAGAAUGACGAUGUCCGAGCCUUUGUGGUUGUGUGUCUGUGGAGCUACUGGCAGCCCGAGGUUUCAAACUGAGGUCAAACUUUUUGCAGCUCUGCGCCCAAACGUGUUGGGAUCUGCAGAGGCCACCGAGCCUCUCUGCUUUGUAUCACCGCUGCAGCACACAGGCAGACAGAUAGACCUGCUGCAAAGUUUUCACAGCUCAUCUAAUUAUAUGAAACUACUAGUAUAUUAUCGCCUGUCAGAAUAUCCAGCCGGAUUCAUUAAGGGUGCAUUUAGGCGCUGUGAGCUCAGUCUAGGAAAAAGGCGCUCAGCUUUGUACGAGUAAAUGGUUUCUCUUGCCUCGAAGAUUUAUUUUAAAAGUUAGUGUAAAACCCAGUGUCACACGUUAAAGGCAUGUAUUGUUUGCAAACUGUUGUAACGUGUAGCAAAGGGUGAAAUACAGUUUGUCUCUGUAAUAGAUAAUUGUAAAAGGAUGGUGAGGUGUUUGCGAAAGUUUGAUGAAUAAAACAAAAAAAUAAUGGCACUAAUAUUACGAGUGUUCAAUCACAUGGCACCGAAAACAUCCUGGUUAAUAGGCUACUAUGGCUUGUGUUUAAUGGUGUAAAAGCAUUGCUUUGGUAUAAUGGCAAUAAUAUGAUGUUUCGCAAUAUUAAUUUUAAACCAUGAAAUCAGUUACAUUGUGUACCAGGGGUAACGCUUUCCUCUGGGAGUUUUCACUUCUGUUGCAUCCUGCAGUUUGGCCCCCAUGUUAAUCUGAGCUGCUCGUCUCUCACACACACAUUAAUGCUUAAUCAUUUGCGCCUUCUACCGGACCUGUUGGAAAUUACAUGAGAAGCAGAAAGGCAGUCUUGCUCAGAUAAUUAAGAUAAAAAGCAACCCUACAAAAUAAAUCGACCGUUAAACUUUUUGUGUACUUCUGUUGCAUUGUCAGCAUUUUUAUCUUUUCCAGCAUGCUGCACUAAAUGCUAAAUAUUAUGUUUGAAUCUAUAAAGAAAUUGUUAUAUUUCUUGUGA